rnacentral:rRNA from 1 species
UACGGAGGGGGCUAGUCGUUGUUCGGAAUUACUGGGCGUAAAGCGCACGUAGGCGGCUUUGUAAGUUAGAGGUGAAAGCCCAGGGCUUAACCCUGGAAUUGCCUUUAAGACUGCAUCGCUAGAAUCGUGGAGAGGUGAGUGGAAUUCCGAGUGUAGAGGUGAAAUUCGUAGAUAUUCGGAAGAAACACCAGUGGCGAAGGCGACUCACUGGACACGUAUUGACGCUGAGGUGGCGAAAGCGUGGGGAGCAAACAGG